GUAGGUGGCAAGCGUUGUUUGGAAUUAUUGGGCGUAAAGCGCGCGCAGGCGGUUCUUUAAGUCUGAUGUGAAAGCCCACGGGCUCAACCGUGGAGGGUCAUUGGAAACUGGAGAACUUGAGUACAGAAGAGGAAAGCGGAAUUCCACGUGUAGCGGUGAAAUGCGUAGAGAUGUGGAGGAACACCAGUGGCGAAGGCGGCUUUCUGGUCUGUAACUGACGCUGAGGCGCGAAAGCGUGGGGAGCAAACAGGAUUAGAUACCCUGGUAGUCCACGCCGUAAGCGAUGAGUGCUAAGUGUUAGGGGGUUUCCGCCCCUUAGUGCUGCAGCUAACGCAUUAAGCACUCCGCCUGGGGAGUACGGCCGCAAGGCUG
rnacentral:rRNA from 1 species